rnacentral:rRNA from 1 species
CAAGUCGAGCGGCAGCGCGGGGCAACCUGGCGGCGAGCGGCGAACGGGUGAGUAAUGCAUCGGAACGUGUCCAUGUCGUGGGGGAUAGCCCGGCGAAAGCCGGAUUAAUACCGCAUACGCCCGAGAGGGGAAAGUGGGGGACCGCAAGGCCUCACGCGAUUGGUUCGGCCGAUGUCCGAUUAGCUAGUUGGCGGGGUAAAGGCCCACCAAGGCGAUGAUCGGUAGCUGGUCUGAGAGGAUGAUCAGCCACACUGGGACUGAGACACGGCCCAGACUCCUACGGGAGGCAGCAGUGGGGAAUUUUGGACAAUGGGGGCAACCCUGAUCCAGCCAUUCCGCGUGAGUGAAGAAGGCCUUCGGGUUGUAAAGCUCUUUUGUCCGGAACGAAACGGGCGACGUGAAUAUCGUCGUCUACUGACGGUACCGGAAGAAUAAGCACCGGCUAACUACGUGCCAGCAGCCGCGGUAAUACGUAGGGUGCGAGCGUUAAUCGGAAUUACUGGGCGUAAAGCGUGCGCAGGCGGUUUUGUAAGCCAGAUGUGAAAUCCCCGGGCUUAACCUGGGAAUGGCAUUUGGGACUGCAAGGCUGGAGUGCGGCAGAGGAGACUGGAAUUCCUGGUGUAGCAGUGAAAUGCGUAGAUAUCAGGAGGAACACCGAUGGCGAAGGCAGGUCUCUGGGCUGACACUGACGCUCAUGCACGAAAGCGUGGGGAGCAAACAGGAUUAGAUACCCUGGUAGUCCACGCCCUAAACGAUGUCGACUGGUUGUUGGGGGUUUGACACUCUCAGUAACGAAGCUAACGCGUGAAGUCGACCGCCUGGGGAGUACGGCCGCAAGGUUAAAACUCAAAGGAAUUGACGGGGACCCGCACAAGCGGUGGAUUAUGUGGAUUAAUUCGAUGCAACGCGAAAAA